rnacentral:snRNA from 1 species
GCUCACUUGGGACGAUACAAAGAAGGUCAGCAUGGCCCCUGAACAAGGAUUACACACAAAUUUGUGGAAAACAAAGCAACAAU